rnacentral:rRNA from 1 species
UACGUAGGCAGCGAGCGUUGUUCGGAGUUACUGGGCGUAAAGAGCUCGUAGGCGGUUUGUCGCGUCGAAUGUGAAAACCCGGGGCUCAACUCCGGGCCUGCAUUCGAUACGGGCAGACUAGAGUUCGGUAGGGGAGACUGGAAUUCCUGGUGUAGCGGUGAAAUGCGCAGAUAUCAGGAGGAACACCGGUGGCGAAGGCGGGUCUCUGGGCCGAUACUGACGCUGAGGAGCGAAAGCGUGGGGAGCGAACAGG